UAUCGACGUUGUCUGGGCUUCUUCUUCUUUUUAGUUUAAUAGCGGUUGGUAAACCAGCUUAGUGGUGCAUUACCGCCACCUGCUGCACUGGAGUGUGGCUCCUCCAAUAAAUGCCCACACCUUUUCCGGCUUUUAGGCCAAUCAGCGACGCGCCCUGCGUGAACACGGGGUUUGAAAUAUGCAGAGACUCGGCUAAGCUAGACGAGAAAGAGAGUUCAUCUUAUUUUGUUCUGCACUACUUCCUGUCACACACACAAGACCCAUGUCAGCGGCUAUGGCGAAUGAUACCGCGUGGAUGACGACGUGGAAUAUGGACACAAAUCCCAGCAACAGAUGCUGUGGUCUAGAUGUCAUGGAAGGUCCUCUUCCCCCUCUCCAAGGCAGAACUUCGAGCUCCAUGACCUGAUGACACGAGCUCCUUCAUUCUUUAAGUCUUAAAAUUGGACAGCUUAUGCUUACAUGGGAUGACCCAAAUAUAUCCUGCCAGCAAAAGUAGGUGGAGGAAGAAGGACCCCAAAACUGGCAGCUUAAUAUCAGAACACUGUCAGCCCUACAGCAGCAGACACUGCAGUCACUGGUACAGCUCUUUGUGGACCUUCACUAGUUGUGCACAUCACCAGUCACUGAGCUGCUGCAGAAUGACCUACAUUGACCCGAUGUUACCCAAUGCUGGAAAACAAUUUCCAGUAGUGAAUUCUCAAAGGAUCCAAACCUCUUCCUUCUUAUUUGAUGAUUGAAACAUCAGCUUGCAGCCUCGUGCACAGCGAGGAAUCGGACAAGAUUUUGCAUCAGAAGAAAUAUCCAAAGUGGUGGGGAGCAUCAUGACCAGCCUUGGAAGAUCUGUGUUAUUGGCUUAAAUUGAACAUUUUCCUUCACUCUUACCACAGCAACAACCAUCCAGGCAAAUACUGUAAUAAAAUGGCACAAACUUGUAUCAUAUUUCUCGUAGUUCUGAUUUUGGGGUCAUAACAUCCAGCUCUCAAAUAGCUGAAUUAAAGCAGCAGAGGGUUCAUUAAUCACUUUUGCUGAAAGUGUUUUGCAGAAGUGACAGCAACUGGACUCCUAAGAACGAUUACAGUUUCAGUGAAUGCCUUGCAUCAUCAGAGGCUUCAGCUCAUUUUAAAUAUCUGCUUGUUCUAUUGUUUUGUCAUCGAGCAGGGUUAGA